rnacentral:rRNA from 1 species
CCUACGGGUGGCAGCAGUGGGGAAUAUUGCGCAAUGGGCGAAAGCCUGACGCAGCGACGCCGCGUGAGGGAUGAAGGUCUUCGGAUCGUAAACCUCUGUCAGCAGGGAAGAACGGUCACUGUGCUAAUCAGCAGUGAAUUGACGGUAACUGAAAAGGAAGCACUGGAUAACUCCGUGCCCGCAGCCGCGGUAAUACGGAGGGUGCGAACGUUAAUCGGAAUUACUGGGCGUAAAGCGCUCGUAGGCGGUAUGUCAAGUCAAGGGUGAAAUCCCCGCGCUCAACGUGGGAACUGCCUUUGAAACUGGCAAACUGGAGUGUGUGAGAGGAUAGUGGAAUUCCAGGGGGAGGAGUGAAAUCCGUAGAUAUCUGGAGGAACAUCAGUGGCGAAGGCGACUAUCUGGCACAUAACUGACGCUGCGUAGCGAAAGCGUGGGUAGCAAACAGGAUUAGAUACCCGGGUAGUC